GACGAACGCUGGCGGCGUGCUUAACACAUGCAAGUCGAACGGUAAGGCCCUUCGGGGUACACGAGUGGCGAACGGGUGAGUAACACGUGGGUGAUCUGCCCUGCACUUCGGGAUAAGCCUGGGAAACUGGGUCUAAUACCGGAUAGGACCCUGGGAUGCAUGUCCUGGGGUGGAAAGCUUUUGCGGUGUGGGAUGGGCCCGCGGCCUAUCAGCUUGUUGGUGGGGUGAUGGCCUACCAAGGCGACGACGGGUAGCCGGCCUGAGAGGGUGACCGGCCAACCUGGGACUGGUAUACGGCCCAGACUCCUACGGGAGGCAGCAGUGGGGAAUAUUGCACAAUGGGCGCAAGCCUGAUGCAGCGACGCCGCGUGAGGGAUGACGGCCUUCGGGUUGUAAACCUCUUUCAGCACCGACGAAGCGCAAGUGACGGUAGGUGCAGAAGAAGGACCGGCCAACUACGUGCCAGCCGCCGCCGUAA
rnacentral:rRNA from 1 species